rnacentral:SRP_RNA from 2 species
GCCGGGUGUGUUGGCAUGCACCUGUCAUACUAGCUACUCAGGAGGCUGAGGAGGGAGAAUCACUUGAACCCAGGAGUUUGAGGCUGCAGUGAGCUAUGAUCAUGCCACUGUACUCCUGCCUGGGUGACAGAGUGAGAUCCUGUCUCUA